GUCCCGCCUACCCAGUGUUCAGACUACCUGUUCAGGAAGUAGCGGUUGUACAGUAGUCUGCACAUUGGUUAGGCUGGGUG
rnacentral:pre_miRNA from 1 species